UACCAGCACCCCGAGUGGUCGGGACGUUUAUUGGGCCUAAAGCAUCCGUAGCCGGUUCUACAAGUCUUCCGUUAAAUCCAGCUGCUUAACAGAUGGGCUGCGGAAGAUACUAUGGAGCUAGGAGGCGGGAGAGGCAAGCGGUACUCGAUGGGUAGGGGUAAAAUCCGUUGAUCCAUUGAAGACCACCAGUGGCGAAGGCGGCUUGCCAGAACGCGCUCGACGGUGAGGGAUGAAAGCUGGGGGACGCAAACCGG
rnacentral:rRNA from 1 species